rnacentral:misc_RNA from 1 species
AACGCACAUUGCGCCCUUUGGUAUUCCGAAGGGCAUGCCUGUUCGAGCGUCAUUAUCACCCCUCAAGCCCCCGGCUUGGUGUUGGACGGUUUGGUGGAGAACCCCCCGUGGGCUUCCCACCCCUCCCAAAGACAAUGACGGCGGCCUCGUUGGACCCCCGGUACACUGAGUUCUUCACGGGACACGUAUCGGACAACAUGGGUUUACGGGCCACGGUCUGCCUCCCCUCAGGGAGAAUCUUCUUAAGGUUGACCUCGGAUCAGGUAGGGAUACCCGCUGAACUUAA